rnacentral:rRNA from 2 species
GUAGCUUGCUACACCAUAGGCUGUGAGUUGCGAACGGGUGAGUAACGCGUAGGUAACCUGCCUAUUAGAGGGGGAUAACUAUUGGAAACGAUAGCUAAUACCGCAUAACAGUAUGUAACACAUGUUAGAUGCUUGAAAGAUGCAAUUGCAUCGCUAGUAGAUGGACCUGCGUUGUAUUAGCUAGUAGGUAGGGUAAUGGCCUACCUAGGCAACGAUACAUAGCCGACCUGAGAGGGUGAUCGGCCACACUGGGACUGAGACACGGCCCAGACUCCUACGGGAGGCAGCAGUAGGGAAUCUUCGGCAAUGGGGGGAACCCUGACCGAGCAACGCCGCGUGAGUGAAGAAGGUUUUCGGAUCGUAAAGCUCUGUUGUUAAGGAAGAACGAGUGUGAGAAUGGAAAGUUCAUACUGUGACGGUACUUAACCAGAAAGGGACGGCUAACUACGUGCCAGCAGCCGCGGUAAUACGUAGGUCCCGAGCGUUGUCCGGAUUUAUUGGGCGUAAAGCGAGCGCAGGCGGUUAGAAAAGUCUGAAGUGAAAGGCAGUGGCUCAACCAUUGUAGGCUUUGGAAACUGUUUAACUUGAGUGCAGAAGGGGAGAGUGGAAUUCCAUGUGUAGCGGUGAAAUGCGUAGAUAUAUGGAGGAACACCGGUGGCGAAAGCGGCUCUCUGGUCUGUAACUGACGCUGAGGCUCGAAAGCGUGGGGAGCGAACAGGAUUAGAUACCCUGGUAGUCCACGCCGUAAACGAUGAGUGCUAGGUGUUAGGUCCUUUCCGGGACUUAGUGCCGCAGCUAACGCAUUAAGCACUCCGCCUGGGGAGUACGACCGCAAGGUUGAAACUCAAAGGAAUUGACGGGGGCCCGCACAAGCGGUGGAGCAUGUGGUUUAAUUCGAAGCAACGCGAAGAACCUUACCAGGUCNUGACAUCCCAG